GGUCCCGACUUGAAACUGACGCGACCUCGUCACCACAGGCCCGCAGAGCCCAACGGACGACCCCAGCCCGGCCCCACUUCCGCUCGGAGCAGUUGGAAAAAUGAACGUGCUCUUGCGAAGGGAUAAAAGGUUAUUAAGAAGAACAAGGGAAGAGAACUCUAGAACAAGCACUGGAGGGUGUUACUAGGAGAGGAAUACAACCUUAGAGGCCAGUGAACAGCAGGGAACAGGGUUGAGACCGUGUGUCCUGGAGUUUGGGCACCUCAUGUACUUCUCUCCUCAGUCGUAAAGUGGGGGUGACAAUGGUAUCCUUGCAGAGUAUCUAAUAAACGAGAGACGCUAUUCUUAC